rnacentral:rRNA from 1 species
CAGCCGCCGCGGUAAUACGUAGGUGGCAAGCGUUGUCCGGAAUUAUUGAGCGUAAAGGGCUCGCAGGCGGUUUCUUAAGUCUGAUGUGAAAGCCCCCGGCUCAACCGGGGAGGGUCAUUGGAAACUGGGAAACUUGAGUGCAGAAGAGGAGAGUGGAAUUCCACGUGUAGCGGUGAAAUGCGUAGAGAUGUGGAGGAACACCAGUGGCGAAGGCGACUCUCUGGUCUGUAACUGACGCUGAGGAGCGAAAGCGUGGGGAGCGAACAGGAUUAGAUACCCCAGUAGUCCCUGUCUCUUAUAC